rnacentral:rRNA from 1 species
UCAAGCUACUAAGGGUGUACGGUGGAUGCCUUGGCUUCAGUAGGCGAUGAAGGACGUGUUAAGCUGCGAUAAGCUUUGGUGAGGGGCAAAAACCCGUUAUUAACCAGAGAUUUCCGAAUGGGAAAACCCAGCAGGGGUAAUGCUCUGUUAUUGGUGUGUGAAUUAAAUAGCGCAUCAAGGCGAUACCCGGUGAAUUGAAACAUCUUAGUAACCGGAGGAAAAUAAAACAAUAGUGAUUCCGUAAGUAGUGGCGAGCGAACGCGGAACAGCCCAAAAUACCCUGUUUACAGGGUAUGGUGUGGACCACAAUGUGGUACUUGAAUGGAUAGCAGAAUCAACUGGAAAGUUGAGCCAUAGCGGGUGAUAGCCCCUUAAGCGAAAUCCUGACAAGACCUAGUGGUAUCCCGAGUAGGUCGGAACACGUGAAACUCUGACUGAAUAUAGGAGGCCCACCUCCUAAGGCUAAAUACUAACUGAAGACCGAUAGCGUACUAGUACCGUGAGGGAAAGGUGAAAAGAACCCCUGGAGGGGAGUGAAAUAGAACCUGAAACCGUGCACUUACAAACUGUGGUAGCCCUUCGGGGUGGCCGCAUGCCUUUUGCAUAAUGAGUCUGCGACUUACCGUAUGUGGCAAGGUUAAGCAUCAACGAUGUGGAGCCGAAGCGAAAGCGAGUGUUAAUAGCGCGAAAUGAGUCGCCUGCGGUAGACCCGAAACCUGGUGAGCUACCCAUGGACAGGAUGAAGCUUCUUUAAACGGAAGUGGAAGACCGAACCAGUACGUGUUGAAAAACGUUUGGAUGAUCUGUGGGUCGGAGUGAAAGGCUAACCAAACCAGGUGAUAGCUGGUUCUCCCCGAAAUACCUUGAGGGAUAGCGUCGAUGAAUGCAAUUCACGGAGGUAGAGCACUGAUUACUUAAUGGUCCCUCCCGGGAUACUGAGAGUUGUCAAACUCCGAAUACCGUGAACGUCACAUCGGCAGUCAGACUGCGGGGGAUAAGCUCCGUAGUCGAGAGGGAAACAGCCCAGACCGCCAGCUAAGGCCCCUAAAUGAUAGUUAAGUGGAGAAGGAUGUUAGAUUGCGAAGACAGCUAGGAUGUUGGCUUAGAAGCAGCCACCAUUUAAACAAAGCGUAAUAGCUGACUAGUCGAGUGGUUUAGCGCCGAAAAUGAUCGGGGCUCAAACUAUCUGCCGAAGCUGCGGGUUUUAACUACUGUUAAAGCAGUAGGGGAGCGUUGUGUACCGGGUUGAAGGGAAGGUGGAAACCGACCUGGACUGUACACAAGUGAUUAUGCAGACAUGAGUAACGAUAAGACAGGUGAGAAUCCUGUCCGCCGAAAUCCUAAGGUUUCCUGGGGAAGGUUCGUCCGCCCAGGGUUAGUCGGCCCCUAAGGCAAGGCUGAAAAGCGUAGUCGAUGGGAAACGGGUUUAAUAUUCCCGUACCGCUGUAUGUGAGUGAUGGAGGGACGCAGGAGGUUAGGUCAGCUGCCGAUUGGAAAUGGCAGUCUAAGUGCGUAGGGCAUUGAAUAGGAAAAUCCGUUCAUGUUUGCCUGAGACACGAUGGGACUUGGAGUCUUCGGACAAAGAGGAUUGGUUGAUGCCAUGCUGCCGAGAAAAGCUUCUAAACGUUGAAUGUAAAGCGACCGUACCAAAACCGACACAGGUGGGAGGGUAGAGUAUACCAAGGCGCGCGAGAGAAAAGUUGUUAAGGAACUCGGCAAAUUAACCCCGUAUCUUCGGAAGAAGGGGUCCUCGAGUUGGCUAGCAAUUUACUUGUAAUGUUAAUUCGAGGCGCAGUGAAAAGGCGAAGGCGACUGUUUAUCAAAAACAUAGCACUAUGCUAACUCGUAAGAGGAUGUAUAUGGUGUGACACGUGACCAAUGCCAAAAGGUUAAGGCAAGGGGUUAGCUCUUGAAGCGAAGCUCUAAACCGAAGCCCUGGUGAAUGUCGGCCGUAACUAUAACGGUCCUAAGGUAGCGAAAUUCCUUGUCGGGUAAGUUCCGACCUGCACGAAUCGU